GCCCCCGUUGUCUAAUGGUUAUGAUAUCAGACUUCUAUGUAAUCUGAAGGUUGCGGGUUCGAGUCCCGCCGGGGGUU